UACGAAGGAUCCAGGCGUUAUCCGGAUUCAUUGGGUUUAAAGGGCGCGUAGGCGGUCAUAUAAGUCAGUGGUGAAAUCUCCGAGCUUAACUCGGAAAUUGCCAUUGAUACUGUUUGACUAGAGUUCAGAUGAUGUUGGCGGAAUGUGUCAUGUAGCGGUGAAAUGCUUGGAUAUGACACAGAACACCGAUUGCGAAGGCAGCUGACAAAACUGAUACUGACGCUGAUGCACGAAAGUGCGGGGGUCAAACAGG
rnacentral:rRNA from 1 species